CCCUCCUGGAGAAUGGGAUUUAGUUUAUCAGGACCCUCCUGGAGAAUGGGAUUUAUUUAUCAGGACCCUCCUGGAAAAUGGGAUUUAGUUAGCAGGACCCUCCUGGAGAAUGGGAUUUAGUUUAUCAGGACCCUCCUGAAAAAUGGGAUUUAGUUUAUCAGGACCCUCCUGGAAAAUGGGAUUUAGUUUAUCAGGACCCUCCUGGAAAAUGGGAUUUAGUUUAUCAGGACCCUCUUGGAAAAUGGGAUUUAGUUUAUCAGGACCCUCCUGGAAAAUGGGAUUUAGUUUAUCAGGACCCUCCUGGAAAAUGGGAUUUAGUUAGCAGGACCCUCCUGGAGAAUGGGAUUUAGUUUAUCAGGACCCUCCUGGAAAAUGGGAUUUAGUUUAUCAGGACCCUCCUGGAAAAUGGGAUUUAUUUAUCAGGACCCUCCUGGAUAAUGGGAUUUAGUUAUCAGGACCCUCCUGGAUAGUGGAAUUUAGUUUAAUCAGGAGAGGUACUUCCUAGUUGGAGCGUUUGAUUUUACUCUCAUAAUUGAAUUAUUUUAUAGUUUAUAAUUUUGCUAACACUAACAAAAUUUCCUGGUGGAAACUGGGACAGAAAUUUUUUGUUCGUGUUCGUUGUUUUUGGUAAUUUGCAGGACCCACCUGAAGAAUGGGAGAAAGUUGCAGGAUCUGCCCAGACAUCAGGAACCCGCCUGGAGAAUAGGGAUAAUUUUCAAUUUCAAGCUCAGGAGCCCGCCUGAAGAAUAGGGUGUACUUUCAGUUGGUUUCAAGUUCAGUCAGAAGUAGCAGGAGCCCCGCCUAGAGAAUAGGGAUGACUUUAAAUUUUAAGUUCAGAAACAAGCAUGAAGAUUCAAGUCAAGAUUCAAGAGAAGCUGCAUAGAUAGAGUCUUGUACUUGUAUUUUCUUUUUAACUUUUUAUUUUUCAUUUUUGAUGUAAUAACAGGAGCCGCGGACCGGAACCUCGACAGGACCUCAAUCGACUCCCCCAACUCAGUAUGUUUCAUCACCCAUCUUACCUCUUGAACUACACGAGACCUGAUUCCCUUAUAACCCGGGAUAUGUAGGAUGCCCAAGACCAGGGCUCGGUCACAUUUUGUUCCAUUCCUUUCUCUUCCCUCAAAUAAAGGUCGGGUCCAAAUUGGUCUCGU